rnacentral:pre_miRNA from 1 species
GGAGCACAAUAUGUAGUUUAUGUGGCUUAUUUUCAUAAGUGCAUUGCGUGCUCCA